UGAGGAAUAUUGGUCAAUGGGCGAGAGCCUGAACCAGCCAAGUCGCGUGAAGGAAGAAGGAUCUAUGGUUCGUAAACUUCUUUUGCAGGGGAAUAAAGUGCGGGACGUGUCCUGUUUUGUAUGUACCCUGAGAAUAAGGAUCGGCUAACUCCGUGCCAGCAGCCGCGGUAAUACGGAGGAUCCGAGCGUUAUCCGGAUUUAUUGGGUUUAAAGGGUGCGUAGGUGGUUUGAUAAGUCAGCGGUGAAAGUUUGCAGCUUAACUGUAAAAAUGCCGUUGAAACUUGCGGACUUGAGUGUAAAUGAGGUAGGCGGAAUUCGUGGUGUAGCGGUGAAAUGCAUAGAUAUCACGCAGAACUCCGAUUGCGAAGGCAGCUUACUAAGCUACAACUGACACUGAAGCGCGAAAGCGUGGGGAUCAAACA
rnacentral:rRNA from 1 species